rnacentral:rRNA from 1 species
CAUGCAAGCCGAGCGGUAGAGAUCUUUCGGGAUCUUGAGAGCGGCGUACGGGUGCGGAACACGUGUGCAACCUGCCUUUAUCUGGGGGAUAGCCUUUCGAAAGGAAGAUUAAUACCCCAUAAUAUGUUGGAUGGCAUCAUUCGACAUUGAAAACUCCGGUGGAUAGAGAUGGGCACGCGCAAGAUUAGAUAGUUGGUGAGGUAACGGCUCACCAAGUCUGCGAUCUUUAGGGGGCCUGAGAGGGUGAUCCCCCACACUGGUACUGAGACACGGACCAGACUCCUACGGGAGGCAGCAGUGAGGAAUAUUGGACAAUGGGUGAGAGCCUGAUCCAGCCAUCCCGCGUGAAGGACGACGGCCCUAUGGGUUGUAAACUUCUUUUGUAUAGGGAUAAACCUACUCUCGUGAGAGUAGCUGAAGGUACUAUACGAAUAAGCACCGGCUAACUCCGUGCCAGCAGCCGCGGUAAUACGGAGGGUGCAAGCGUUAUCCGGAUUUAUUGGGUUUAAAGGGUCCGUAGGCGGAUCUGUAAGUCAGUGGUGAAAUCUCACAGCUUAACUGUGAAACUGCCAUUGAUACUGCAGGUCUUGAGUGUUGUUGAAGUAGCUGGAAUAAGUAGUGUAGCGGUGAAAUGCAUAGAUAUUACUUAGAACACCAAUUGCGAAGGCAGGUUACUAAGCAACAACUGACGCUGAUGGACGAAAGCGUGGGGAGCGAACAGGAUUAGAUACCCUGGUAGUCCACGCCGUAAACGAUGCUAACUCGUUUUUGGGCUUUCGGGUUCAGAGACUAAGCGAAAGUGAUAAGUUAGCCACCUGGGGAGUACGAACGCAAGUUUGAAACUCAAAGGAAUUGACGGGGGCCCGCACAAGCGGUGGAUUAUGUGGUUUAAUUCGAUGAUACGCGAGGAACCUUACCAAGGCUUAAAUGGGAAAUGACAGGUUUAGAAAUAGACUUUUCUUCGGACAUUUUUCAAGGUGCUGCAUGGUUGUCGUCAGCUCGUGCCGUGAGGUGUUAGGUUAAGUCCUGCAACGAGCGCAACCCCUGUCACUAGUUGCCAUCAUUAAGUUGGGGACUCUAGUGAGACUGCCUACGCAAGUAGAGAGGAAGGUGGGGAUGACGUCAAAUCAUCACGGCCCUUACGCCUUGGGCCACACACGUAAUACAAUGGCCGGUACAGAGGGCAGCUACACAGCGAUGUGAUGCAAAUCUCGAAAGCCGGUCUCAGUUCGGAUUGGAGUCUGCAACUCGACUCUAUGAAGCUGGAAUCGCUAGUAUCGCG